CUGGCGGCAGGCCUAACACAUGCAAGUCGAGCGGAUGAAGGGAGCUUGCUCCCUGAUUCAGCGGCGGACGGGUGAGUAAUGCCUAGGAAUCUGCCUGGUAGUGGGGGACAACGUCUCGAAAGGGACGCUAAUACCGCAUACGUCCUACGGGAGAAAGCAGGGGACCUUCGGGCCUUGCGCUAUCAGAUGAGCCUAGGUCGGAUUAGCUAGUUGGUGAGGUAAUGGCUCACCAAGGCUGCGAUCCGUAACUGGUCUGAGAGGAUGAUCAGUCACACUGGAACUGAGACACGGUCCAGACUCCUACGGGAGGCAGCAGUGGGGAAUAUUGGACAAUGGGCGAAAGCCUGAUCCAGCCAUGCCGCGUGUGUGAAGAAGGUCUUCGGAUUGUAAAGCACUUUAAGUUGGGAGGAAGGGCAGUAAGUUAAUACCUUGCUGUUUUGACGUUACCGACAGAAUAAGCACCGGCUAACUUCGUGCCAGCAGCCGCGGUA
rnacentral:rRNA from 2 species